GAUGAACGCUGGCGGCGUGCCUAAUACAUGCAAGUCGAGCGAACAGACGAGGAGCUUGCUCCUCUGACGUUAGCGGCGGACGGGUGAGUAACACGUGGAUAACCUACCUAUAAGACUGGGAUAACUUCGGGAAACCGGAGCUAAUACCGGAUAAUAUAUUGAACCGCAUGGUUCAAUAGUGAAAGACGGUUUUGCUGUCACUUAUAGAUGGAUCCGCGCCGCAUUAGCUAGUUGGUAAGGUAACGGCUUACCAAGGCAACGAUGCGUAGCCGACCUGAGAGGGUGAUCGGCCACACUGGAACUGAGACGCGGUCCAGACUCCUACGGGAGGCAGCAGUAGGGAAUCUUCCGCAAUGGGCGAAAGCGUGACGGAGCAACGCCGCGUGAGUGAUGAAGGUCUUCGGAUCGUAAAACUCUGUUAUUAGGGAAGAACAAAUGUGUAAGUAACUAUGCACGUCUUGACGGUACCUAAGCAGAAAGCCACGGCUAACUACGU
rnacentral:rRNA from 1 species